rnacentral:rRNA from 1 species
CCAGACCUGACUGCUAUCGGAUUGAUACUAAGCCAUGCGAGUCAUUGUAGCAAUACAAGGCAUACGGCUCAGUAACGCGUAGUCAACCUAACCUAUGGACGGGAAUAACCUCGGGAAACUGAGAAUAAUGCCCGAUAGAACAUUAUACCUGGAAUGGUUUAUGUUCCAAAUGAUUUAUCGCCGUAGGAUGGGACUGCGGCCUAUCAGUUUGUUGGUGAGGUAAUGGCCCACCAAGACUAUUACAGGUACGGGCUCUGAGAGGAGUAGCCCGGAGAUGGGUACUGAGACACGGACCCAGGCCCUAUGGGGCGCAGCAGGCGAGAAAACUUUGCAAUGUGCGAAAGCACGACAAGGUUAAUCCGAGUGAUUUCUGCUAAAGAAAUCUUUUGUUAGUCCUAGAAACACUAACGAAUAAGGGGUGGGCAAGUUCUGGUGUCAGCCGCCGCGGUAAAACCAGCACCUCAAGUGGUCAGGAUGAUUAUUGGGCCUAAAGCAUCCGUAGCCGGCUCUGUAAGUUUUCGGUUAAAUCUGUACGCUUAACGUACAGGCCGCCGGGAAUACUGCAAAGCUAGGGAGUGGGAGAAGUAGACGGUACUCGGUAGGAAGUGGUAAAAUGCUUUGAUCUAUCGAUGACCACCUGUGGCGAAGGCGGUCUACUAGAACACGUCCGACGGUGAGGGAUGAAAGCUGGGGGAGCAAACCGGAUUAGAUACCCGGGUAGUCCCAGCUGUAAACUAUGCAAACUCAGUGAUGCAUUGGCUUGUGGCCAAUGCAGUGCUGCAGGGAAGCCGUUAAGUUUGCCGCCUGGGAAGUACGUACGCAAGUAUGAAACUUAAAGGAAUUGGCGGGGGAGCACCACAAGGGGUGAAGCCUGCGGUUCAAUUGGAUUCAACGCCGGA